GUGCUAAGGUAGCAAAAUCAUUUGUCUUUUAAUGGAGGACUGGAAUAAAAGAUUGAACAAGUAGUAAAUAUUUUUAUAAGUGGGGUAUAAUUUUUAUUUUAUGUAAAAAUACAUGAAUGUAAAAAAGGGACGACAAGACCCUAAAAGCUUUAUUAUUUAGUAUUUUUUAGUAUUAUUUUAAUUACAUUGUUUAGUAAGUAUUUUAACUGGGGUAGUCGUUUUUAUAACAAAUAUUUUUAAAACCAGGUUGUUAUAAAGGGCCUUGAAAUCAGGAUAAUUAGUUAGAGUUACUUUAGGGGUAACAGCACGAUAUUAGUGGGAAGACCUUAUUUAUACUAUUGAUUGUGACCUCGAUGUUGAAUUAAAUUUAAUUAUGAAGUAGGAGUUAUUUUUUAAAGUUUGUUCAACUUUUAGAAUUUUACAUGAUC
rnacentral:rRNA from 1 species